rnacentral:rRNA from 1 species
GACGAACGCUGGCGGCGUGCUUAACACAUGCAAGUCGAACGGUAAGGCCCUUCGGGGUACACGAGUGGCGAACGGGUGAGUAACACGUGGGUGAUCUGCCCUGCACUUCGGGAUAAGCCUGGGAAACUGGGUCUAAUACCGGAUAGGACCACUGCCUGCAUGGGUGGUGGUGGAAAGCUUUUGCGGGUUGGGCUGGGCCCGCGGCCGAUCGGCUUGUUGGUGGGGUGAUGGCCUACCAAGGCGACGACGGGUAGCCGGCUUGAGCGGGUGACCGGCCACACUGGGACUGAGAUACGGCCUAGACUCCUACGGGAGGCAGCAGUGGGGAAUAUUGCACAAUGGGCGCAAGCCUGAUGCAGCGACGCCGCGUGAGGGAUGACGGCCUUCGGGUUGUAAACCUCUUUCAGCACCGACGAAGCGCAAGUGACGGUAGGUGCAGAAGAAGGACCGGCCAACUACGUGCCAGCAGCCGCAGUAA